GCUGAAAUAGUUAAUGGUAACCAUACAAUUCAUACUUGUGAAUAGAGGGUUCGAUUCCCUCUUUCAGCU
rnacentral:tRNA from 1 species